GAUGAACGCUAGCGGCAGGCUUAACACAUGCAAGUCGAGGGGUAUUGGUUUUCGGACCAAGAGACCGGCGCACGGGUGCGUAACGCGUAUGCAAUCUACCUUUUGCAGAGGGAUAGCCCCAGAGAAAUUUGGAUUAAUACCUCAUAGUAUAGUACUUUGGCAUCAAGGAACUAUUAAAGUCACAACGGCAAAAGAUGAGCAUGCGUCCCAUUAGCUAGUUGGUAAGGUAACGGCUUACCAAGGCUACGAUGGGUAGGGGUCCUGAGAGGGAGAUCCCCCCACACUGGUACUGAGACACGGACCAGACUCCUACGGGAGGCAGCAGUGAGGAAUAUUGGACAAUGGGCGCAAGCCUGAUCCAGCCAUGCCGCGUGCAGGAAGACGGUCCUAUGGAUUGAAACUGC
rnacentral:rRNA from 1 species